GGAUUGUGGCUCAGUGGUAGAGCACUCGCCUCUAGCGUGUGAGACCCUGGGUUCGAUCCUCAGCACCA
rnacentral:tRNA from 1 species